rnacentral:piRNA from 1 species
UUGAUGUUGGGAAGAUAGAUUAGUAGUGAGG